rnacentral:lncRNA from 1 species
UGUAAAACAUCGGAUGCUGCCUUGUUAGCAGCUUACAUCCUUCAAGCGGAGAUUGGGGAUUAUGACUCAGGGAAACACCCUGAAGGCUACAGCUCCAAGUUCCAGUUUUUCCCUAAACAUUCAGAGAAGCUGGAAAGGAAAAUUGCUGAGAUUCACAAGACGGAACUGAGUGGUCAAACACCAGCAACAUCAGAGCUGAACUUCUUAAGAAAAGCACAGACAUUGGAAACAUAUGGAGUGGAUCCUCACCCAUGUAAGGUAAGACCCCCUGGUUGGAGACUGCAUGACCUUUCCUCCUCUAGAAGGCAUCAGGAGCAAGAGCCCCCAUGCCUGCGCUCAGAGGCCCCCUUCAACGUUUACAUGGCUGGCACUUUCAGUGAGAUAUCAGAGAAAAUGCCUGCUUUGAAAACUCCUCUGGAUCACAUGCUACAUAAUUUUGUGGUGCCACAUCAAUGUCAGAGGAACCGAGGCAAAGUCAAUCUAAAUAACAAAUCCAAAGCUAGGGCCCCGCAAUGGGUA